UACAGAGGUGGCAAGCGUUGUUCGGAAUUACUGGGCGUAAAGGGCGCGUAGGCGGCCAUCUACGUCAGACGUGAAAUCCCCCGGCUUAACCUGGGAACUGCGUCUGAUACUGGACGGCUCGAGUAUGGGAGAGGGAUGUAGAAUUCCAGGUGUAGCGGUGAAAUGCGUAGAUAUCUGGAGGAAUACCGGUGGCGAAGGCGGCAUCCUGGACCAUUUACUGACGCUGAGGCGCGAAAGCUAGGGGAGCAAACGGG
rnacentral:rRNA from 1 species